CCCGGCACAGCUAACCAAGACAGAGAGCGGAGUUUGCUGUCUUCUGUGAUUGGGAUCCAGAUGCACAAGCCUUGUUCCAGUUCUUGUUAACAUCUGAGCUGUGGAAUCCAAGUGUGGCUGCCAAGAGGAAUCCAGAAAAGCCAAAGAGCCCGAGCAUGUCAGACCUUCCUGUAGCCACACACACACACGUCAGACCCCAGGGAAGUGAUUGAGAAUCGGCGGGAAGAAGAUCCAACCAGUUUUGAUUUCAAGUUGAACCAGCAUCAUUUGAAGAGAAAACUUUCUUCUCACCAUUGCGUUGCCUUGACACAGAUGUCAAAGAUC